UUAUAUGUCUGCAGUUCCUUUUUAAAGAUAGUGGCUACUGGUGACUACAUUCAUGUCUACUUUUAUUAAAAAUGGGAAACUACAGUUCUAGGUCAAGUAAUGGUUUUAGGCCCACAAAGAUUCAGUAAUGCUUUCGUUUCUGUAUGAUGUGUCAUAUGUGUUUUUCCCUUGACUCAGCCUGCUGAACCCAAACCCUUCUGUAUCUCAAUUCUCA
rnacentral:lncRNA from 1 species